rnacentral:rRNA from 1 species
UUAAACUGAAGAGUUUGAUCCUGGCUCAGAUUGAACGCUGGUGGCAUGCUUAACACAUGCAAGUCGAACGGUAACAGGUCUUCGGAUGCUGACGAGUGGCGGACGGGUGAGUAACGCGUAGGAAUCUGCCCAUUUGAGGGGGAUACCAGUUGGAAACGACUGUUAAUACCGCAUAAUAUCUGUGGAUUAAAGGUGGCUUAGGCUGCCGCAGAUGGAUGAGCCUGCGUUGGAUUAGCUAGUUGGUGGGGUAAGGGCCUACCAAGGCUACGAUCCAUAGCUGAUUUGAGAGGAUGAUCAGCCACAUUGGGACUGAGACACGGC